UGAACAGCAGUAUGGAAGUAUAGG
rnacentral:misc_RNA from 1 species